CCGAGUCUUAACUGGGCGUUAAGUUGCAGGGUAUAGACCCGAAACCCGGUGAUCUAGCCAUGGGCAGGUUGAAGGUUGGGUAACACUAACUGGAGGACCGAACCGACUAAUGUUGAAAAAUUAGCGGAUGACUUGUGGCUGGGGGUGAAAGGCCAAUCAAACCGGGAGAUAGCUGGUUCUCCCCGAAAGCUAUUUAGGUAGCGCCUCGUGAAUUCAUCUCCGGGGGUAGAGCACUGUUUCGGCAAGGGGGUCAUCCCGACUUACCAACCCGAUGCAAACUGCGAAUACCGGAGAAUGUUAUCACGGGAGACACACGGCGGGUGCUAACGUCCGUCGUGAAGAGGGAAACAACCCAGACCGCCAGCUAAGGUCCCAAAGUCAUGGUUAAGUGGGAAACGAUGUGGGAAGGCCCAGACAGCCAGGAUGUUGGCUUAGAAGCAGCCAUCAUUUAAAGAAAGCGUAAUAGCUCACUGGUCGAGUCGGCCUGCGCGGAAGAUGUAACGGGGCUAAACCAUGCACCGAAGCUGCGGCAGCGACACUGUGUGUUGUUGGGUAGGGGAGCGUUCUGUAAGCCUGUGAAGGUGUGCUGUGAGGCAUGCUGGAGGUAUCAGAAGUGCGAAUGCUGACAUAAGUAACGAUAAAGCGGGUGAAAAGCCCGCUCGCCGGAAGACCAAGGGUUCCUGUCCAACGUUAAUCGGGGCAGGGUGAGUCGACCCCUAAGGCGAGGCCGAAAGGCGUAGUCGAUGGGAAACAGGUUAAUAUUCCUGUACUUGGUGUUACUGCGAAGGGGGGACGGAGAAGGCUAUGUUGGCCGGGCGACGGUUGUCCCGGUUUAAGCGUGUAGGCUGGUUUUCCAGGCAAAUCCGGAAAAUCAAGGCUGAGGCGUGAUGACGAGGCACUACGGUGCUGAAGCAACAAAUGCCCUGCUUCCAGGAAAAGCCUCUAAGCAUCAGGUAACAUCAAAUCGUACCCCAAACCGACACAGGUGGUCAGGUAGAGAAUACCAAGGCGCUUGAGAGAACUCGGGUGAAGGAACUAGGCAAAAUGGUGCCGUAACUUCGGGAGAAGGCACGCUGAUAUGUAGGUGAAGUCCCUCGCGGAUGGAGCUGAAAUCAGUCGAAGAUACCAGCUGGCUGCAACUGUUUAUUAAAAACACAGCACUGUGCAAACACGAAAGUGGACGUAUACGGUGUGACGCCUGCCCGGUGCCGGAAGGUUAAUUGAUGGGGUCAGCGCAAGCGAAGCUCUUGAUCGAAGCCCCGGUAAACGGCGGCCGUAACUAUAACGGUCCUAAGGUAGCGAAAUUCCUUGUCGGGUAAGUUCCGACCUGCACGAAUGGCGUAAUGAUGGCCAGGCUGUCUCCACCCGAGACUCAGUGAAAUUGAACUCGCUGUGAAGAUGCAGUGUACCCGCGGCAAGACGGAAAGACCCCGUGAACCUUUACUAUAGCUUGACACUGAACAUUGAGCCUUGAUGUGUAGGAUAGGUGGGAGGCUUUGAAGUGUGGACGCCAGUCUGCAUGGAGCCGACCUUGAAAUACCACCCUUUAAUGUUUGAUGUUCUAACGUGGACCCGUGAUCCGGGUUGCGGACAGUGUCUGGUGGGUAGUUUGACUGGGGCGGUCUCCUCCUAAAGAGUAACGGAGGAGCACGAAGGUUGGCUAAUCCUGGUCGGACAUCAGGAGGUUAGUGCAAUGGCAUAAGCCAGCUUGACUGCGAGCGUGACGGCGCGAGCAGGUGCGAAAGCAGGUCAUAGUGAUCCGGUGGUUCUGAAUGGAAGGGCCAUCGCUCAACGGAUAAAAGGUACUCCGGGGAUAACAGGCUGAUACCGCCCAAGAGUUCAUAUCGACGGCGGUGUUUGGCACCUCGAUGUCGGCUCAUCACAUCCUGGGGCUGAAGUAGGUCCCAAGGGUAUGGCUGUUCGCCAUUUAAAGUGGUACGCGAGCUGGGUUUAGAACGUCGUGAGACAGUUCGGUCCCUAUCUGCCGUGGGCGCUGGAGAACUGAGGGGGGCUGCUCCUAGUACGAGAGGACCGGAGUGGACGCAUCACUGGUGUUCGGGUUGUCAUGCCAAUGGCACUGCCCGGUAGCUAAAUGCGGAAGAGAUAAGUGCUGAAAGCAUCUAAGCACGAAACUUGCCCCGAGAUGAGUUCUCCCUGACCCUUUAAGGGUCCUGAAGGAACGUUGAAGACGACGACGUUGAUAGGCCGGGUGUGUAAGCGCAGCGAUGCGUUGAGCUAACCGGUACUAAUGAACCGUGAGGCUUAACCUUACAACGCCGAAGGUGUUU
rnacentral:rRNA from 1 species